rnacentral:tRNA from 1 species
GGCGGAUAUAGCCAAGUGGAUCAAGGCAGUGGAUUGUGAAUCCACCAUGCGCGGGUUCAAUUCCCGUUGUUCGCC